CUGCCCUCGCCUCAUGUCUUCGGUUUUGCCCUUGCUUUCCCCCCAUAAUCUCAGGCUGCCCGUACUAGAUGCUUCCAUCGGUUUCUUCUUUCUACGGCCAUAUAACCAAGAUUGACUUCCUUAAGUGGUGAGAAGAGAGAGUGUGAUGCGAGUUUGCUGUGGAUAAGAAGGAAAGGGACUGUGAUAGAGGUCGAAAGAGACUCUGAGAGCGAAGAGGCUCUUUUGCUUUAACCACAACACUCCAAUAGCUCAAGUAAAACUCGCCUGCAGUCUAUUUGUUCUCUUGAUUUGACGAUGAAGGUCUCUAAUCUGACGAUCAGUACUAUAGCAUUUAAAAGAAACUUGAAAAACAAACAUAUUUAUCAGAAGCUUGGUUGAGACGGAGGGACGAGAAGAUCGAGGAGGACGAAGAUGGAACUGGGUCUUAAGAUACUCUAAAUGGUCCAAGUGAGGGCUAGAAGAUAGGGGAAGAUCUCCGCGAGAAUAGAUCGGGUCGAAGGUAUUUUUGCUCUUUUGGUGGCUUUGAUGUUCAAUUGCGUGAAGAGAGAUGACAUUGAUUGCUCUCCUUACGAAGAGGGCGAGUGGAGGUUUAUCUAUCUGAGGAUCGGAGGGUGCAUUAAAUGUAGGCUUAAAAGAUCAUCUGACAAUACAAUACAUUAUAUUGUAUUGUGUGCCAGACAUUGAAGGGUUGAGUAGUUAUGAUGGGGAGGUUCUUCAGUCGACCAGAUUCAA